rnacentral:rRNA from 1 species
GACGAACGCUGACGGUGUGCUUUAGACAUGCAAGUCGAACGCGAAAGCCCUUCGGGGUUAGUAGAGUGGCGAACGGGUGAGUAACACGUGGGCAAUCUGCCCCUCGCAGGGGGACAACCGGAGGAAACUCCGGCUAAUACCCCGUACGCUUGCUGGACCGCAUGGUCCGGCAAGGAAAGGUAGCUUCGGCCAUCCGGCGAGGGAUGAGCCCGCGGUGCAUUAGCUAGUUGGUGGGGUAACGGCCCACCAAGGCGACGAUGCAUAGCUGGUCUGAGAGGAUGAUCAGCCACACUGGGACUGAGACACGGCCCAGACUCCUACGGGAGCAGCAGUCGGGAAUCUUGCGCAAUGGGCGAAAGCCUGACGCAGCAACACCGUGUGAGCGACGAAGGCC